CCUGGCCCCGGCUCCUUCACCUCAGUGUUCCCGUCUUUGCCUUCAGUUGGUUCUGACUGUGUUCUUAUAAACCCUCUCCCGAGGUGACGUCAGCGCUGAUUCUGUGGGUGGUUGAGAAGGGCCUGACUGUGGCUGUCCUUCACACUGUAGGUCACAGAAGUUCAACUUCUGCACAGCCCCAUUUCUCUGCCUUGUCCCUUCUCCGUGUGUGAGUGUGUGCCUGUGUGUGCACAGGUGAGAAGCUGCCACCAAGGAUGUGCAUAUGCGCUUGUGUAGGUCAGGGGUCACCCUCGGAUGUUACUGUCCUUGUCUUUUUCUGAGACCGGGUAUAUUGAUGAGACCUGGGGCUCACUAUUAGGAUGGCUGGCAGGCUGUUCCAGGGAACUAUUGUGGGUUUAAAGUAGGUGCUAGGGGGCGGGAGGGGGAGGGUACCCAGGUCCUCUUGUUUGCAGCAAGUGAUUUGCCAACAGAGGUAUUACUCCAGCCUUUUACUAGUUGGUUUAUUUUUUAUUUACUAGUUGACUUAUUAGCUUGUCCAGACAGGUUUUCACACAGUAGCCCAGCCUGGCACAAACUCACAGCAGUCCUGCCUCAGCCGUUGGGAUUACAGGUGCCAAUGCAUAGAGACUUUGAUUCCUUCUCAACACCAUACCGAGUUCUUGUCUUGAUUCCAACUUCUCGGGUCUUACCAGCAUUCCCUCAGACUGCAGCUCACUGCGAAGCAGCCCAUUCCCUGUCCCCAUAAGGAGCGAGAUCUCUGCUUCAGCACCUCUGCUUCUCUUAACUUGAGUCUCCUUGUGACAGGGAGUUGAAGGUUCUCACUUCAACACUAUGCCCACUAUCUGUAUAUAUUAUGUACAAGCAAUGUAUAUAAUAAAUGUAAGGCCAGCA